GACGAACGCUGGCGGCGUGCUUAACACAUGCAAGUCGAACGGAAAGGCCCUGCUUUUGUGGGGUGCUCGAGUGGCGAACGGGUGAGUAACACGUGAGUAACCUGCCCUUGACUUUGGGAUAACUUCAGGAAACUGGGGCUAAUACCGGAUAGGAGCUCCUGCUGCAUGGGGGGGGUUGGAAAGUUUCGGCGGUGGGGGAUGGACUCGCGGCUUAUCAGCUUGUUGGUGGGGUAGUGGCUUACCAAGGCUUUGACGGGUAGCCGGCCUGAGAGGGUGACCGGCCACCUUGGGCCUGAGAUACGGCCCAGACUCCUACGGGAGGCAGCAGUGGGGAAUAUUGCACAAUGGGCGGAAGCCUGAUGCAGCAACGCCGCGUGCGUGAUGACGGCCUUCGGGUUGUAAACCGCUUUCGCCUGUGACGAAGCGUGAGUGACGGUAAUGGGUAAAGAAGCACCGGCUAACUACGUG
rnacentral:rRNA from 1 species